rnacentral:rRNA from 1 species
UACGGGGGGGGCUAGCGUUGUCCGGAUUUAUUGGGCGUAAAGAGCUCGUAGGCGGUUGGGUAAGUCGGGUGUGAAAACUCCAGGCUCAACUUGGAGAUGCCACCCGAUACUGCUCUGACUUGAGUUCGGUAGGGGAGUGGGGAAUUCCUGGUGUAGCGGUGAAAUGCGCAGAUAUCAGGAGGAACACCGGUGGCGAAGGCGCCACUCUGGGCCGAAACUGACGCUGAGGAGCGAAAGCGUGGGUAGCAAACAGG